AAUACGACUCUCGGCAACGGAUAUCUCGGCUCUCGCAUCGAUGAAGAACGUAGCGAAAUGCGAUACUUGGUGUGAAUUGCAGAAUCCCGUGAACCAUCGAGUCUUUGAACGCAAGUUGCGCCCCAAGCCGUUAGGCCGAGGGCACGUCUGCCUGGGUGUCACGC
rnacentral:rRNA from 19 species